rnacentral:rRNA from 1 species
AGUGAACGCUGGCGGUGGGCCUAACACAUGCAAGUCGAACGGCAGCACAGUAAGAGCUUGCUCUUACGGGUGGCGAGUGGCGGACGGGUGAGGAAUACAUCGGAAUCUACUUUUUCGUGGGGGAUAACGUAGGGAAACUUACGCUAAUACCGCAUACGACCUACGGGUGAAAGCAGGGGAUCUUCGGACCUUGCGCGAUUGAAUGAGCCGAUGUCGGAUUAGCUAGUUGGCGGGGUAAAGGCCCACCAAGGCGACGAUCCGUAGCUGGUCUGAGAGGAUGAUCAGCCACACUGGUACUGAGACACGGUCCAGACUCCUACGGGAGGCAGCAGUGGGGAAUAUUGGACAAUGGGCGCAAGCCUGAUCCAGCCAUACCGCGUGGGUGAAGAAGGCCUUCGGGUUGUAAAGCCCUUUUGUUGGGAAAGAAAAGCAGCAGGUUAAUACCCCGCUGUUCUGACGGUACCCAAAGAAUAAGCACCGGCUAACUUCGUG